GUGUUUGUUAAUUAGAUACAUUUACAUUUAAUUGUAUGCUACUUUAUUUUCAACUGCACAACACAGUAAAAUAAAUAUAAACAGCAAAAUAAUCACUAAGCUAUUUCAAUCACUGUUAAUAUUAUUUGCUGUCCUUUAUCUGUAUUCUUCCCUUUCAUCAUCAUUAUUAUUUUAUACUUUAAUUUUACAUUCUAAAUUUAGAAUGCUAGCUAAUCAGAUUUUUCAUAUAAUUAUAUAAAUCCUAUUUAUCUACAU
rnacentral:lncRNA from 1 species